rnacentral:rRNA from 1 species
CAAACGACUCUCGACAACGGAUAUCUCGGCUCACGCAUCGAUGAAGAACGUAGCAAAAUGCGAUACUUGGUGUGAAUUGCAGAAUCCCGUGAACCAUCGAGUUUUUGAACGCAAGUUGCGCCCGAAGCCUUUUGGCCGAGGGCACGUCUGCCUGGGCGUCACAU